GGGGACUUAGUUUAUUUAGAACUAUUGAUUUGCAUUCAUUGAGAUUAUGUCUCUG
rnacentral:tRNA from 1 species